GAUGAACGCUGGCGGCGUGCCUAAUACAUGCAAGUCGAGCGAACAGACGAGGAGCUUGCUCCUCUGACGUUAGCGGCGGACGGGUGAGUAACACGUGGAUAACCUACCUAUAAGACUGGGAUAACUUCGGGAAACCGGAGCUAAUACCGGAUAAUAUAUUGAACCGCAUGGUUCAAUAGUGAAAGACGGUUUUGCUGUCACUUAUAGAUGGAUCCGCGCCGCAUUAGCUAGUUGGUAAGGUAACGGCUUACCAAGGCAACGAUGCGUAGCCGACCUGAGAGGGGGAUCGGCCACACUGGAACUGAGACACGGUCCAGACUCCUACGGGAGGCAGCAGUAGGGAAUCUUCCGCAAUGGGCGAAAGCCUGACGGAGCAACGCCGCGUGAGUGAUGAAGGUCUUCGGAUCGUAAAACUCUGUUAUUAGGGAAGAACAAAUGUGUAAGUAACUAUGCACGUCUUGACGGGACCUAAUCAGAAAGCCACGGCUAACUACGU
rnacentral:rRNA from 1 species